rnacentral:tRNA from 1 species
CAAAACGUAGCUUAACUUAAAGCACCUGGCCUACACCCAGAAGACAUCGCAUUAACGAUCGUUUUGA